rnacentral:misc_RNA from 1 species
GAAAAAUUAUUUUAAAAAAUCAAGACUUUAAAAGGGAGGGGAAGAAGAUGAUGGGAGACAGGCCUGUUUGAUCACUGGGAAAGUGCUUUUGGGGAGGGAGAGAGAGAGAGGGAAUAUUUGCAGAGAGAGGCAAAGGCAUGCAAAAUCUGAGACCCACAUCACACACAAUCAUCAAAAGCAUAGACAGACACAAACCUUUGAGCCCAUCACUGCUUUAUUUUCCUUUUUUCACUUUAAUAAUGGUAUUUGUGAGUGUUGGGGUUUUCUUUUACAGUUAAAAGAGACAUCACACUCAUUAUUCCUCCUUGCAACUAUCUGUUCACUGGUUCCCUUGAUGCUUGACAUUAGUGCUCCUUCUCAAUGAUUUUAAGCACUCCUGGACUUCAAAACUAUGAGAUACAAGAUGGGUUUUCAAGGAGGUUUCUGAAUUCCACACUCCUCGGGUGAGUUUAUAGUGUUUUGGGGGUCUCAAAGUUUCUAACUUUAUGCUUGUUGCUGAUUUAGUUAGGAAAAUUUUUUACGGGAUUUUGUUGGGACCUGAUCUGCAUUUAGUUUUGGAGGACAUGGGAGAAACUGUGUAAUUGCUUUUUGCGGGGAUUUUCGCCUGCAAAGAUUUUUUUUGUAUUUUUUUUUUAGGAAUUUUAGUUUUACUCUUUUGAAUUGUGUUCUUAUCUUCCUGCAAACUUUAGAUUACAAUUAGAUUUUGUUUAGUUUUUUUCUCAACUGUAAUUUGUAGUAUAUUGAAUUUUAAGUGGCUCAGUCUAGAAGAAAUAAGUUUUCUCUUUUCCAAGUGCAGUACUUGUUUCAGACAAAGUAAAAUUUUGAUUUUAGGGUUCCCAGGAUUAACUUCAAUUGCCGUACCUUGAUUUCAAUAAUGCUGUAAGUUCUUGUUAAACAUGGCUGAAAUUAGACUUACAAGUGUAGAACAAGGCCAAACCAAGAUUCGAAAUGUCCCAAUUGCUGUAACACCAGAAGGUUUUUGGUGUUGUCCUUCUCCUGUUGGGUUUCAAAAGACCGUUAAAACUCAAAAUCCACUAAACAAAACCAAACCAUCGUCACCACCACCUAAGACUACUGUCCAAAAGAAACAAGCUCCAUUUAAUGAGAGAAAGCCACCACCAUCUCCAUUAAGACCUGGACUUCUGUUUGAUGAUCAGUGAAAUUUUGGCUCUGAUACUCCUGUUGUUAGUGCUUCUAUUGCUAAUGAGAGAGUACCGAGGCCAAAAAUAGAAAGUUUGCCAAGGAAGGUGGCAAUUGAGUUUGGAGAACCUGGAACCAAUGACAUGAAGGUGGUCUUACUUGGCAAGCAAGGAUUUUGUGUGAAGCUGAGUGUCCACAAGAAUGUCUUAGUGGAGAACAGCAGCUAUUUUGCUUGUAAACUUUCUGAAGAUUCAAAUUUGUCCUGUCUUGAGAUUGACGAUUGUGAUGAUGUUGGGAUAUAUAUUGAAACUGGGGGACUGACGUAUUGCAAAUAAAUGAAACAGUGGUUGAUCAAGUAAAGUGUCUUGCGGGUGCUUUGAAUUAUCAAGAUUGCUGAAUUUCUUGGCUUCAACUCAUGCAUUCAAACAUGCUUGGAGUAUUUGGAAUCAGUUCCAUGGGUAGGAAAAGAAGAGGAAGAAAAUGUCAUCUCUUCAGUUCUACAACUCCAAAAUGAAGGUGUUGGGGUCACGCCAGUUUUAUAAUGAGUCUCUUCUAAUGUUUUUAAUACGCCUAAGGAUACACUUUCCCACAUAGUGGAACUUGGUCUUAAAAGCAAUGAGGAGAGAGGCCGCCGUGAAAUGAAAUCUGUGGUACUGAAACUCCUUCAGGAGAACAACAACGUUCCAAGUUAUUCGGGUUCAACUGACAUCUGCAAUGAAACCAUCUACAGCCCAUGUAAAAGUUGCGUUAAUUCCCUUUGGUCUUAAUUCAGGCAAGCUGCUGAACCUGAGUUUUCCAAUAAACCUGUGAACUAUAGGGAACUAGUGGUGAAACAAAUAGUUAUUGAUGCUGAUAACCUCUCAUGGUUGCUUUAGAUUUUAGCUGGCAGACAAGCAGCAAAUGAAUUUGCUUUAAUGUAGGCAAGCUAGCAGAAGUUGACAGUGCUACAUGCAAAACUGCCUAUUGUGUCCCGUUACCAUGUUAACUGCAUUACAGCAAGGCUAUUUGUUGGAAUUGGAAGAGGGGAGCUGCUACCAUUAAAAGACACUCAUCACAUGUUGUUACAAACCUGGUUACAACCAUUGAUCAAUGACUAGAGUUGGUUACAACAUGGUUGCCGAUCUUUUGAUAGGAAGGUAGUGGAGGAAGGCAUUGGGAGGACAAUCCUGACUUUACCGCUGGAGAACCAACAGAGUAUUUUGCUUGCAUGGUUGGGCAGUUUUCUGAAGGUUGGUGAUAACUGCCCCAAUCUCCAGAGGGCCUUCGAGGUUUCGUGGCGAAGAACUUUCAUUAGACCUUAUGUUGAAAUCUGGAAAUCUACUCCAGUCAGAUAGCACAAUGAUGUCAAAGCGGUAGAGCUAAUGAGCCUGAAAUGCGAGAGCAAUUUGUAUGAUAAGCAGUUACUGCCAUCUCCAAAUAUGCAAAGUCACUUCCAUAUAAAAAGUGAAAGAAAAGAAAUGGUUGGGCCUUUUCUCUUUUAGCAAGAGAUAAUGCAGCAUAUCCCUCUGGAGGCAAAACAGUGACUAUUGAUAAAGUAUUGCUCGUAUAUUUUAUGAUACCGCAUUGCAGGUUUGUAAAAGUUUUCACUUGACGAUGGUUGCUCGCUUGAUAUUGAAAUGAAUGAAGAACUGUAUUGGAAAUUGCUUUUCUUCAUAUGUGCAAUUUUUUUUCCCUUCCUAUUAUGAUUACGUAAUUGUAAAAGCAGUAUAUAAUAUAUUCAUAUCGAGAUUAUGACUGUAAAUGUGUGAGAAUUAUGAUAGUGUAACCAAAAUUUUCCCCUCAUUUAUUCUCUUCUAAUGUAUUGUUAGUGUAAUGUACUAUUGUAAUGUCUUUUCAUUGUAAUUUAAUUGUUAGAAAGAAAGCAUGACUUGUAUCUAUA